GAGGUAAAAGUACUAGCUAAAAACCUGCCUUCAGCCAGUGGGAGAACCCUGCAAAGCCAGACCAGAGAGAGGACCCAGUGAAGCUUCAUCCAGAUUCUUAACCUGCAGAAACUGGACAUAACACACCUUCCCUCGUGUCUUACUUGGCUCCUCUUGAAUUUGCAGAAAUAAUGCCCUGUACGGUGAGUACCUGUAGCACAUU
rnacentral:lncRNA from 1 species